rnacentral:lncRNA from 1 species
UGUUCCUUUUUCAUCUACCUUGUGGUAUAAGAUUAAUGUUUUAUGUUGAGAAAUUGUUAUUGUUGAAGUCAUAUACAAUAAAUUGAGAGCUAUUUGUUCGAACCAAAAGUUUUUUUACUGGUAUUCUGUUCUGCAUAAUGAUUCUUGACAUGGAUAUACUUUGGCUCCUCCUUAACUUGUACAGGGUACCUUAAUCAAAGGAGAAUCUAGAAAUUCUAGAAUGUGCACUACUUAAAACAGAAAAUAGUUAUUAAAUACUAAGUUUAGUGUGCUAAAAAUUAAUUGGUUCAAUUAUUAAACAAGAUAGCUUCAUCCUUUGUAUCUAGUCAUGCUAGAUAGGUCAUGGCCCGUGCAAAGCACGGGCCCAAUACAAUUAGUGUAGGUUAUUCACUUAAAAUAGAAAAACUUACCUGAAAAUUAUCUUUUAAGACUUUGAUGAAUAGAGAUACAUUUGUGGUUUCACAUCAUUAUUCCACCAGUAAGGCUCACAAAUACGUUAAUAUAAACAACAAUUGAACAAAUAUAAUAAUAUUUGGUGUAUGUAUAAAUUUUUUGAUGUGAACUCUUGAACAUGUGGUCUUUGCACUUUCAUUGAUAUACUAAAAGCAGCAGCCCAUUAAACCAGCAAAACUUGUGUGGGGGAUGGAGAGCAUGGCGUUGAUAGGAGUUCCUAAUCUUCUUUCAACUUCAAGCAAAGAGGAAUUUCUUCAGAUAUAGCACGCCUACAACUCGAUGUUCAACAUAUAAAGACCUGCCAUGAAACAAUAUAAAUACUUAGAACAAAUCAUAUGAUAUUUCAUAAAACAAAAAAAAGUCACAUUAUUGAUGAGAAGGAAAUAAAUAGCAGUAGUCUGCUAGCAGAAAUAUACCAUUAACUUUAGCUUGAUUAUCAUAAAUGUUGUAGAAAGAUAAAACAGUGAACUUCAGUCUCCACACUAACACAAACUCGAUUUACAAAAUUUGAAAAAAAUGAUAUUUUCAAAAAAAGAAAAAAAAAAAGAAGUUCAAACUUAAAACAUGAAAAUGUGUAAAUGACUAAAUGUUAAGAAAAUGCUAUCUACAACACACUCCACAACUUCAACCAAUCCAAAAUUUAUCAUCCAUGUGUUUGUUUGCUAGUUCUUUUCUCUUAUCCUUCAUUUUUUUGUUUCUUUUUUGGAAAAUUGUAAGAUAUAUUAUCUAAAGGAACUUCAUUUUACCAAUUUCUACAGUUAUAAGAAGCCACCCAUUGUUUUUCGAUAUGUAUUCUGCAAUAUUAGAGUAAAUUUUCAUACUCAGGAGUCGCGCCGGUCGUUAUGACUUUCAAUCCAAAGGCCAACAAAAGAGUAGUACACUUUCAUCGGUGAAAACUUUCAAAAGUCACAAACUAAAUAAUUAAGAGUAUAGCAAAACAUCACUUGUGCAGAAGCUGGAUUAAAAAAAAUAGUACCUGAAAAUAAUAGCAGUGUCAUUCCUAAAUUUCUCUAGCGUCUUUCCAUAAUCUUAAGAAAGGAAGCAUUUCAAAGAUCCUAAGACAAUUUCUCAUAGCUUUUUGUCUCUGCUGUCGCGACAAUCUGCCAAAGAAAAAAACAUAACCCAAAAUAAAAAGUCAUGUUCUUUUCUUCAAUAUCAUCAAACAAUCCAGAUGCAAAGGCAAGUACCGAAAAAUUCAUCGUACCAAAAACCAUUCCGAUUGAAGCAGAGGAAACUAUUCAUUCAUUAACUUUGUUAGCGGAAGCGUGAAAUUAAAGAACAAGGAAGAACAACAAUAUUUAACGUGAUUUGGAUAAAAAAUGAUCUUACGUCCACCAAAGAACAACUGCACUAAUAUUUAUUCACUCUAC